rnacentral:sRNA from 1 species
GCCACAAUAGAAUUCUUAUCAACAAUUUCUUUUUCUUUUCCAUGCUUAACCAUCAUCAAUUUCUUUACAGUUUCUCCUUGCAAUUGACCAUGGUGAUAGUGACAAAUAUCUCGACUUGAGUUAAACUUUCUCUCCAUACCAACUCCUGCCAAUGGAAUUGCCAGAAUAUCGCGUGCCAUCAUUGCCACUGUUGGAUACUGACUGCUGAUCAUCCUCCACAGAUCUAAAAUAGAUUUUCCUUUGAUAUUAACAGAAUCAUCAUAUAGAUAGCAGUCAAAUUCAGUGUUGCAAGAAUUUUGUUUGCUCAGAUUUUCAGCAGCAAUCAAUGAGUGCAAAUCCUUAAUCAAUAUUAGUAACAGAUUAAUAUCAAUAUCUCAUAUGUCCAAGCUAUAUCAACAUAGAUUUGUCGUUCUUCCACUGU